AAAUAUUAGUUCUUAUAUGAUCACUGAAGUUAAGCAACAUCGAGCCUGAUCAGUACCUAGAUGGGCGACCACUUGGGAAUACCAGUUGUUGUAA